UUUUUAAUUUUUUUUUUCUCUUUUCUACAUCUUAAACUUUUAUUUAGGUACAAGAAUGUCAAAAUCAGUAACUGUCCACUCUGCCACUUGAUUUGGAUCUUUAUAAAUUUCAGUUCCCAAGUUGAUUGAAGUCCAUUUCCUUAUUGCUGGUGUAGUUCCUGGAUCCUGAUAAAAAUAAAGUGAUUGUGACAACUUCCCAACAUCAAGUUCCCAUGUUUUUGGAUCUCCAAUCCAACCAUCACCUUUCCUAGUAGGAUAACCAUAAUCCCCCCAAACAGGAUGUG
rnacentral:misc_RNA from 1 species